rnacentral:rRNA from 1 species
UACGUAGGGGGCAAGCGUUAUCCGGAUUUACUGGGUGUAAAGGGAGCGCAGGCGGCGUGGCAAGUCAGAUGUGAAAACCCAGGGCCCAACCCUGGGACUGCAUUUGAAACUGCCAUACUGGAGUGCCGGAGAGGUAAGUGGAAUUCCUAGUGUAGCGGUGAAAUGCGUAGAUAUCGCGCAGAACUCCGAUUGCGAAGGCAGCGUACCGGCGCCAGACUGACGCUGAGGCACGAAAGCGUGGGGAUCGAACAGG